GAAAUGCGAUAAGUAGUGUGAAUUGCAGAAUUUAGCGAAUCAUCGAAUCUUUGAACGCACAUUGCGCCCCUUGGUAUUCCAUGGGGCAUGCCUGUUCGAGCUUCAUUUCAACCCUCAAGCACUGCUUGGUGUUGGGCGUUUGUCCCGCCUACGCGCGUGGACUCGCCUCAAAGUCAUUGGCAGCUGUUCCCCUUCGGCUCGUAAGCGCAGCACAGUCGGCGCCCGGAGCUCUGGUGGGAUGGCGUCCAGCAAGCUAUAUUUUCAGGCUUGACCUCGGAUCAGGUAGGGAUACCCGCUGAACUUAAGC
rnacentral:misc_RNA from 1 species